CACCGCGGUUAUACGAGAGGCCCGAGUUGAUAAACAACGGCGUAAAGAGUGGUUAAGAAGUAUAAUAAAACUAAGGCCGAACACUUUCAAGGCUGUUAUACGCAUCCGAAAGCAAGAAGUCCCAUUACGAAAGUAGCCUUAACUACCUGAACCCACGAAAGCUAGGACA
rnacentral:rRNA from 1 species